GGCUCGAUGGCGGACGGACCGCACCUGCCCCGCAUAAAAGGAAAGAAUUUGGUGGAUAUGCCAGGAGACACCUGUUCGACUCGGGUUCGAGCCA